UUUACGGAGAGUUUGAUCCUGGCUCANGACGAACGNUGGCGGCGCGCAUAAUGCAUGCAAGUCGAACGAAGACCCACCCUUCGG
rnacentral:rRNA from 1 species